CCUACGGGUGGCAGCAGUGAGGAAUAUUGGUCAAUGGCCGAGAGGCUGAACCAGCCACGUCGCGUGAGGGAAGACGGCCCUACGUGUUUUAAACCUCUUUUGUCGGGGAGCAAAGCGACCCACGGGUGGCUCAUUGAGAGUACCCGCAGAAAAAGCAUCGGCUACCUCCGUGCCAGCAGCACCGGUAAUACGGAGGGGGCACGCGUUGUCCGGUAUCAUUGGGAGUAAAGAGUUCGUAGGCGGCAUGUCAAGUCAGGCGUUAAAGGCGGAGGCUCAACCUGUGUAUGGCACUUGAUACUUGCAAGCUGGAAUGCGGUAGAGGUAAAGGGAAUUCCUGGUGUAGCGGUGAAAUGCUUAGAUAUCAGGAGGAACAACGGUGGCGUAAGCGCUUUACUGGGCCGUAAUUGACGCUGAGGAACGAAAGCCAGGGUAGCAAAUGGGAUUAGAUACCCGUGUAGUC
rnacentral:rRNA from 1 species